UAGGCCCAUCUCUAUAUUGCUUCUUCUUACC
rnacentral:piRNA from 1 species